CCUGGCAAUGGAAUAUGUAUGUAUGUCAUUAAAGCAUAAUAAGAGUCAAAGAAAAUUCUACUGCGGUUGUUUUGCUUCGUUGUUGUAAUGUUGGUCAUGUGUGUUUUGGCCUCUGCUUUACUCUUUUCUGAAUUUUCUGCUGUAAGGAUCCUUAAUUUUGGUUUUCAAGCGGGUGUCACAAUUACUACUAUAUAACUUUAUGCCAACUCUGGGAAAAGGGAGACAUACCAAAGUUUUUAGCUGCAAAAUGACAUUGGCGUAAUGCAACGCGAGUCCAGCAGGCCCUAACGUUCUGGCGAGGUUUUUAGCCACACGAAGUUCUCCAGAUGAUUGCUCGGCAUGGUUCUCCAAGAAAGCUCUGUUGAUCUCAAGAUGGAUGAAGUCCACGAUCCCUACAAGUUUCUCUACAAUCUGGAACAAGACAACAUGGAUCAUUGGAACAGCUGCUAAAUCUGCAUAUGGUUACUGUGUAAUUAGAAAGGAGAGGAGACUCAUCGAAUGCGAGUGACAAAAUGGUUUGUCGUACAAUGAGCGUGCUCAAGUCUGUCCAGUGCUAGCAUUUCUUGGCGCAGAACCUGAACACAUGAAAAAGCGAAAACGGAAUUUCAGUGUUUUGUCUGCUGAAAACAUCUCUACAAGGAUGUGAGCGUGCAAAGAAGAGAUAUAGUUGGAUUGUCAGAUACUGCAAACUGGGAGGUGCUUCUUCACUGGAGUUGUUCUUAGAUGUCACUGUCAGUGCAGAACCGCAUCUGUGAACGAUGUAUGUUAUGUACACAGAACACAAAAAAGAUGAGCUAUGGUGAAUACAUGGACUCCGAAGUGAAUUAAGUGGUAACGGCGAUAAGUUUUACCUACAGAAAUACCUAUCGAGAUUGUGCCAUUGAGGAUCUUCACACAGAUCUCCAAACCGGGCAACCUCUAUACAAAAUCGUCUCAACUCUUCUCUGCAUAAUUCCAAUAAAAUGCAUGUAAUACUUUUCUUAAAUAAACUGCUAAACAGA